rnacentral:rRNA from 1 species
GACGAACGCUGGCGGCGUGCUUAACACAUGCAAGUCGAACGGAGCGAAUGAAAGCUUGCUUUUAUGAGCUUAGUGGCAAACGGGUGAGUAACACGUAGACAACCUGCCGACAGGAUGGGGACAACAUUCCGAAAGGAAUGCUAAUACCGAAUGAAGCGGAGGAGAGGCAUCUCUCCUCCGUGAAAGAUGGCCUCUAUUUAUAAGCUAUCACCUGUCGAUGGGUCUGCGUCUGAUUAGCUAGUUGGUGAGGUAACGGCUCACCAAGGCGACGAUCAGUAGCCGGUCUGAGAGGAUGAACGGCCACAUUGGGACUGAGACACGGCCCAGACUCCUACGGGAGGCAGCAGUGGGGAAUCUCCCGCAAUGGGCGCAAGCCUGACGGAGCAACGCCGCGUGAGUGAAGAAGGUCUUCGGAUCGUAAAGCUCUGUUUGACGGGGACGAAACGUACGGAAGUGCGAAAUAGUGCUCUGUAAAUG